rnacentral:lncRNA from 1 species
UUUAGGGUUUAGAAAUUUGGUGUUAAGUUAGAGUUUAGGGUUUAGAUUAAUUAGUGUAUUUUAAUUAUAUAUUAAAUAAGGUUUAGGGGUUAGGGGUUAGGGGUUAAGGGUUAGGGAUUUAGGGUUAGGGGUUAGGUUAUGGGUUAGAUGUUAAGAGUUAGGGAUUUAGGGUUUAUAAAAUCAGUGUUAGGUUAGAGUUUAGGGAUUUAGAUUAAUUAGUGUAUUUUAAUU